rnacentral:rRNA from 1 species
GAUGAACGCUGGCGGCGUGCCCAAUACAUGCAAGUCGAGCGAACAGACGAGGAGCUUGCUCCUCUGACGUUAGCGGCGGACGGGUGAGUAACACGUGGAUAACCUACCUAUAAGACUGGGAUAACUUCGGGAAACCGGAGCUAAUACCGGAUAAUAUAUUGAACCGCAUGGUUCAAUAGUGAAAGACGGUUUUGCUGUCACUUAUAGAUGGAUCCGCGCCGCAUUAGCUAGUUGGUAAGGUAACGGCUUACCAAGGCAACGAUGCGUAGCCGACCUGAGAGGGUGAUCGGCCACACUGGAACUGAGACACGGUCCAGACUCCUACGGGAGGCAGCAGUAGGGAAUCUUCCGCAAUGGGCGAAAGCCUGACGGAGCAACGCCGCGUGAGUGAUGAAGGUCUUCGGAUCGUAAAACUCUGUUAUUAGGGAAGAACAAAUGUGUAAGUAACUAUGCACGUCUUGACGGUACCUAAUCAGAAAGCCACGGCUAACUACGUG